AUAUCCGAUGGCCGGCGCUUGCUUGUCUUGCGUCGUGCUCUGACGGAUGCUUUUAUUAGACCAAGCCGCUGAGGACUUGAGCUCUCUGCGUCGUUCGCCACACUCAUGUGUGGUGGCUUCGCAAGCUCCUGUUCGACUCGUGUCAUGGUGACUCUGGAUAACCAAAAUUCUGACAAGCGCACGUACCCCUCUUCUGAGCGGGACGGCGCUGCCACUUUCGAGUGUCUGCCUUAUCAGCUAUCAACCGUUCGUUAUGCGCGACCGAUGGCUUUGACGGGUAACGGGGAAUCAGGGUUCGAUUCCGGAGAGGCAGCCUGAGAGACGGCUACCACGUCCAAGGACGGCAGCAGGCACGCAAAUUACCCAAUCCCAGCAAAUGGGGGAGGUAGUGACGAAAUCUAACGAUGCGGGCGCCCUUUCUGGGGCCCCGCAAUCGGAAUGGGCACUUUCUAAACAACCUGUUGAGAACCUACUGAAGGGCAAGUCUGGUGCCAGCAGCCGCGGUAAUUCCAGCUUCAGCAGCAUCUAUUAAAGUUGCUGCGGUUAAAAGGCUCGCAGUUGAAUGUCUGUAUCGAGCGCAGGUCAGGUGGACGUUGGGGCGUGGAAGCACGGGCGGUUGGAUGCUGAACGCGCGUUGUGUGGGUCUCGCACUCGCCGCGCGCCUCUCUCCUUCUGCUUUUCCACAAACCCCCGUCCGUGACAAGCCUCCUCGCUCGGGUACAUAACGGGAAUCGGUCAAACGGAGUGUGGAAGAGAGAGCUCUCGGUUUUCGUGUUUUCUGGGCAGAGUUUAUCUCACUCGUGGGUGUGCUCUUCUCGGUUGCGCGCGGGCCGGUGCUUUUUCUCGACCACGUUAAGCUCCAUCGGUUUCACAGUCACCUUGAGUAAAUCAGAGUGCUCAAAGCAGUCGUAGGGGCCUUGCGCCCUGUGAACAGUCUUGACGGACUGACUUGGUUUUGCAUGGCAUGUCGAAAGACGACGUCGUGUGCUGGCUCAGAGGAUAAAUCAGUGGUACAAGCCAGCCUCGACGUAAUGAUUAAAAGGGACGGUCGAGGGCAUUGGUAUUGCGAGGCGAGAGGUGAAAUUCUGUGACCCCCGCAAGACCUCCUGAAGCGAAAGCGUCUGCCAAGGACGUUUUCAUUAAUCAUGAACGAAAGUUAGAGGAUCGAAGGCGAUCAGAUACCGCCCUAGUUCUAACCCUAAACGAUGCCAACCAUCAAUCCGCGCGUAGCACCCUUCUUAACGGGCUCGGCGGGCAGCUCCCCACUCACGGGAAACCAGAGCCUCUGGGUUCCGGGGGGAGUCUGGUUGCAAAGCUGAAACUUAAAGGAAUUGACGGAAAGGCACCACCAGGCGUGGAGCCUGCGGCUUAAUUUGACUCAACACGGGCCAUCUCACCAGGCCAGCACUCUUGUACGAUUGACAGAUUGAGAGCUCUUUCUCGAUUCAGUGGAUGGUGGUGCAUGGCCGUUCUUAGUUGGUGGAGUGAUCUGUCUGGUUAAUUCCGAUAACGAACGAGACUCUCCCCUGCUAACUAGUCGGUUGGAUCUUGAUCUACCGGGUUGCGUGCCGAGUAACUCUCGCUGUGGGUGUGGUGCAUGUGUGUGUGUGUGCGCGCGCGUGCACGCUCGCUGCUUCUGUGGCUUGCGUGUUUCGUGUGUGUGUGCGCGCAUGUGUGUGUCCGCGCACGCGGUGUUGGAUGCCUUGGAUCACACUGCACCCCAAGUCCGCCGCUUAUGCUAUAACUCUUCUUAGAGGGAUUCACGGCACUGAAGCCGUAAGAGACUGAGAGCAAUAACAGGUCUGUGAUGCCCUUAGAUGCUCUGGGCCGCACGCGCGCUACAAUGCCGGGCACAGCAGGUGUUUCUCCUGCUCCGACAGGAGCGGGUAACCCUCUGAAAGCCAGUGUUCUUUUGCAAGUGCAAUCUCCCUCGUGGAGUUGCACAGAGGCGUGCUUGGGCCUGGGACUUGCAAUUCUUUCCCACCAACGAGGAAUGCCUAGUAGCGGCGGGUCACUGAGCCCGCCGUGACUCAGUCCCUGCCCUUUGUACACACCGCCCGUCGCUACUACCGAUUGGGUGUACCAGUGAGAGCCUUGGACUGGCGUCCGUUGUCACUCUCUCAA
rnacentral:rRNA from 1 species